rfam:Gossypium raimondii Chr13_contig_1354, whole genome shotgun sequence.
GUGUUUGCAAAUGCGGCAUCAUCAAGAUUCAUAGAAAAUUUUCCUAAGAGCCUGUUUGGAUGCCUAGAAAGUUUUCUUGAAUCUUGAUGAUGCUGCAUCUGCAAUUAU